UACGGGGGGGGGCAAGCGUUAAUCGGAAUUACUGGGCGUAAAGCGUGCGUAGGCGGUUCGUUAAGUCUGUUGUGAAAGCCCCGGGCUCAACCUGGGAAUGGCAAUGGAUACUGGCGAGCUAGAGUGUGUCAGAGGAUGGUGGAAUUCCCGGUGUAGCGGUGAAAUGCGUAGAGAUCGGGAGGAACAUCAGUGGCGAAGGCGGCCAUCUGGGACAACACUGACGCUGAGGCACGAAAGCGUGGGGAGCAAACAGG
rnacentral:rRNA from 1 species